CCUACGGGAGGCAGCGGUGGGGAAUCUUGCGCAAUGGGCGAAAGCCUGACGCAGCAACGCCGCGUGCGGGAAGAAGGCCUUAGGGUUGUAAACCGCUUUCAGUAGGAACGAAAAUGACGGUACCUGCAGAAGAAGGUGCGGCCAACUACGUGCCAGCAGCCGCGGUGACACGUAGGCACCAAGCGUUGUCCGGAUUUAUUGGGCGUAAAGAGCUCGUAGGCGGUUCAGUAAGUCGGGUGUGAAAACUCUGGGCUUAACCCAGAGCCGCCACUCGAUACUGCUGUGACUUGAGUUCGGUAGGGGAGCAGGGAAUUCCUAGUGUAGCGGUGAAAUGCGCAGAUAUUAGGAGGAACACCGGUGGCGAAGGCGCUGCUCUGGGCCGAUACUGACGCUGAGGAGCGAAAGCGUGGGUAGCAAACAGGAUUAGAUACCCUGGUAGUCCACGCCGUAAACGUUGGGCACUAGGUGUGGGUUCCAACCAACGGAAUCCGCGCCGUCGCUAACGCAUUAAGUGCCCCGCCUGGGGAGUACGGCGGCAACGCUAAAACUCAAAGGAAUUGACGG
rnacentral:rRNA from 1 species